rnacentral:rRNA from 1 species
GACGAACGCUGGCGGCAUGCUUAACACAUGCAAGUCGAACGGAAAGGCCCUGCUUUUGUGGGGUGCUCGAGUGGCGAACGGGUGAGUAACACGUGAGUAACCUGCCCUUGACUUUGGGAUAACUUCAGGAAACUGGGGCUAAUACCGGAUAGGAGCUCCUGCUGCAUGGUGGGGGUUGGAAAGUUUCGGCGGUUGGGGAUGGACUCGCGGCUUAUCAGCUUGUUGGUGGGGUAGUGGCUUACCAAGGCUUCGACGGGUAGCCGGCCUGAGAGGGUGACCGGCCACAUUGGGACUGAGAUACGGCCCAGACUCCUACGGGAGGCAGCAGUGGGGAAUAUUGCACAAUGGGCGGAAGCCUGAUGCAGCAACGCCGCGUGCGGGAUGACGGCCUUCGGGUUGUAAACCGCUUUCGCCUGUGACGAAGCGUGAGUGACGGUAAUGGGUAAAGAAGCACCGGCUAACUACGUG